CCUACGUGGGGCAGCAGUGAGGAAUAUUGGUCAAUGGGCGCGAGCCUGAACCAGCCAAGUAGCGUGAAGGAUGACUGCCCUACGGGUUGUAAACUUCUUUUAUAAAGGAAUAAAGUGAGGCACGUGUGCCUUUUUGUAUGUACUUUAUGAAUAAGGAUCGGCUAACUCCGUGCCAGCAGCCGCGGUAAUACGGAGGAUCCGAGCGUUAUCCGGAUUUAUUGGGUUUAAAGGGAGCGUAGAUGGGUUGUUAAGUCAGUUGUGAAAGUUUGCGGCUCAACCAUAAAAUUGCAAUUGAUACUGGCAGUCUUGAGUACAGUUGAGGUAGGCGGAAUUCGUGGUGUAGCGGUGAAAUGCUUAGAUAUCACGAAGAACUCCGAUUGCGAAGGCAGCUUACUAAACUGCCACUGACAUUGAUGCUCGAAAGUGUGGGUAUCAAACAGGAUUAGAUACCCCAGUAGUC
rnacentral:rRNA from 1 species